GAGAUGAAUGAAACGUGCUCUAUAGUGGCCCUCAAUAUUGAGAUGUCAUGGAAAGUUUACCACAAGCUUGUUCAUAGUGACAAACAGGAAGGAGGCGCUUAGCUGGUGUGUGGCAGCUCUAGAGCAUCUCCAGCAGCUCGCGAGGGCCGUGCAGGUCACAGCGCUGGAGGGAGCGAGUGUGUGAGCAUCAGCCUCUACAGGUUCAACUGAGACUUCAGCACAUAUCCUAAAAGCCCCAAAAGCGGUUCUCGGUGUGGAGUGAUGAGGAGACAAUUGAACAUCUGUGUAGCGAGUCAGAAUAUCAAGAUGAUUUCUGAACGAUCAUGUGACACUGAAGACUGGAGGAGUGAUGCUGAAAAUAAUAUUUACAACCAAAAACAGAGGUCAUCUUUGAACGCGUUCCUGGGUGUUUCUCGGAGUUCUUGGGAGAGAGAGGAAGGACGGGGGAUGAGUAGAGCCGCAAAACAGGCCGGACGGAUAGAGCAUCCCACGCCUUCCCAUGAUGCCUCUCCCUUGGCGUCCAUUAACCCAUUCCAUCCUGUGAGACUGUGGAAAUUAUUAGGGUGGGUCUUCUUGCAUAAGACAUGGGCCUUAAAUCACUCAUCAUUACAAACACACACACACACACACACACACACACGAUCCAUCCCAGCUGGAGUCUCUGUUUGACUCUGUUAUCUGUCACUCUGACACCUUCACUAUGGAUCUUGUCUUCAUGAAUUUCACGAAACAACCAGCCAGACACAAAGAAAUAUAUUCCCAAAUAUUCAUACAUUUCUGAAUUGAAAUUGUAUUAAAUAUAACUUUCUAUCAUAUUCUGAUCCUUAUAUAUAAGUCCAUGGAAAAAUGGAAUUCCGAUCGUUUAGAAAUGUAAUAACACACCCCCUUCUCAACAUGUUGCACACUUUGAGUUUUCUUUCAAGUUUACCUACUGUUAAAGCCUGAACCAAGAACUAUAUUAAAGAGAUAGUCCACCCUAAAAUUUAAAUUCUG